rfam:Caenorhabditis briggsae complete genome, chrV
GACAGGAUGAUGAGUCACUCGCUGAGUGACAAUAAGCCGAGUGUUAGCGGUUUUUCACAACCGUGAUGAUCAUUCCCUCAAAAGCGAUACAUGUGGUCUGACUGUC